CUCAGUGGCGCUUCUCCAUGCAGGAUGUAGGACGUGGGAAGGGGGAGGGACGCACACUUUGUAAACAGGAAUAGCUGCAUCAUCAGAUUGUUGCUGGAUAGAUACUUUCAUAUCUAACAUGCUGGCGAUGCUAUCUAAUGUUAACGGGGCUAGCUACCCUUGUAUCAGGAUGCCUCGCUCCAGUCCGAUUUGAUUUAUUUUACGAUGUCAGCAUGGCUUAACAUGUGUUCUUUCGUUUUUGACCUCGACAUUAUUGCUGGAUAGAUACUUUCAUAUCUAACAUGCUAGCUAAUGCUAACGACGCUAGCUCACCUCAUAUCUGGAUGCCUCACUCGUGUUCCCGAGAGAGCAGCAUACUGGCCCUCCGUUCCCAAACCUGAAGCCCCCAUGUUCCCGAGCAGGAAAGACCAGAAAAAAAGUGUUGUCUUAAGAUCUGCCAACCUGCUCGUGGGUGACAGGUAACCGUCUUUCCACCAAGCUAUUCCAGGCCUGGAGUGGCACGCUGGAACUUCCAGAGGCUUGUAGACCUGAAGCAGUGUGAUGUGGUCCAGAUCUGCCAUGCACUCUUCCACUGCCUGACAGCCUCACCCAGAAGUGCAUACAUUGGGCCUAUCAAGACUGACAAAGCAGAGAUGGGUGGCUGACAAGGAAAAAUAAAACAUAUACACACACACUCAUUAUCCACAAUGUAAAUAAGUUGUAAUUACUUGUUUAUUUUAUGUAUGAUCCAUUUUAUUUGAGGAUUGAAGAUAUCUACUCCUAUAUAUCCAUGAUCAAUAUCUGCAUAAUUACUCUAAAUAUCUAUCAAAUCUACGUGUGAUUGAUAAUAUUGUAAAAUACUUUGUUGAAAAACAUGCCUCGCUCUCUCACACACACAUUAGACCCAAUGUAAAUAAAUUGUAAUAACUUGUUUAUUUUGAGGAAAAUAUCUGCAAUAAAGUAGAUUCACAGUUAAA